CUGGAAGGGAGAGAUGGAUGGUGUGGGUGCUUGUAGACUGUAUAACUUGGUCCAGCUGUCUUUUGCUGAGGUGAUUAGCUCAUCCUGCUUUGGUUGGUCAUUUACGCUGUGCACAAUCGAGUGGUGCUUUGCAAGUGGAGUGCGCCGAGAGAUACACUGCAGCGGUCGGAGCUCUGCUUUGAGGACCCUCUUCGGAGGGAAACCCGGGCGGGAGGAAGAUUGUUUGUGGUGUGCGCUAGGAGUAUGGACUUAACACGAGCCGGUCGGCCGUUGAGUCUGCGGCGGGCAGCGGUCGCAUGCGAACGUUUCCGCUGUGGGCUUGGUUGUUGGCUUUGGCUCUCAUACUCGAUCUCGGUGUAAAAGUCGGUCAUCUAUCCGACCCGUCUUGAAACACGGACCAAGGAGUUUAACAAAUAUGCGAGUCAUUGAGUGUUGAAAACUCAAAGGCGCAAUGAAAGUAAAGGCACCUUUAAUGGGCUGAUAUGCGAUCCGGGGCGUUUCGGCGCUCCGGCGCAGCAUAGUCCCCAUCCCGAUUGGCUUGCAAUGGGGGU
rnacentral:rRNA from 1 species